rnacentral:rRNA from 1 species
AGACCGAUAGCGAACAAGUAGAGUGAUCGAAAGAUGAAAAGCACUUUGAAAAGAGGGUUAAAAAGUACGUGAAAUUGUUGAAAGGGAAGGGCUCUCGACCAGACUUGGGUCUGGGGAUCACCCGGCGUUCUUCGCCGGGGCACUCCCCCGGCACAGGCCAGCAUCGGUUCGGCCCGGGGGACAAAGGCGGCGGGAACGUGGCUCUUCGGAGUGUUAUAGCCCGCCGUGUAAUACCCUGUGCCGGACCGAGGACCGCGCAUCUGCAUGGAUGCUGGCGUAAUGGUCGACAGCCACCCGUCUUGAAACACGGACCAAG